AAUAAUUAUGAAAGCACUGACGGGAAGUCAGGAUCACUCAUUCAUGUGUUAAUUCCGCCCCUAGAGACCACAGUUAUAUAACUAUACUUUCUUCAAAGGUACAAAUAGCAUGAAUGAGGAUCACUUGAGAACUCCUAAAUUUACGUCAGUGCCUACCUCACUUCUUUCAGUUUUUCAUUCAAAUUACAAUUGUUCCUUUCACCUCUUCAUUAGCUCUAUCUAAUGGAAAAUGAGUAACAUUGAGCUACCAACGAUAUUAUGAAAUCGCCAUAUAAUUGAAUAUUUUCAUCAUGAAACAAUAACUUUUUAUUCAUGUGUAUAGAUUUUUUUACAACAUAUGUAUCGAAUAUAUUGAUUCCGAUGCAUUUGAAUUGUCAGUUCGACACUGAAUGUUCUAUAACAUUAAAUUAAUUUUCAGUCCGAGGGCUCCUUAAGAAUUUUAAAUCAUGGACAAUAUAGACAAAUUGUGGAAUUUAGUAAAUCCGAGGGAAAUAUUCAAAGAGCACGGAUUACUAAGUGAUAUUGGUUUGGUGUCCAUACUUAUGAUGUGUCUUGCUCCUGUGCACCAAGCUGUUGUACCAAUCGUUGGAUAUAUUUCCUACAGGUUGUAUUAUUAUCAUAGAUAAUGAAGGAGCUGCGAUUCAAAUUAUUUGCCCGUCCAUAGAACAGAAACGAUAUAUACAUGUAAUAUUCAUUCGUUUUCAAUUCUGCAUGUGCAUAUUAUAUAACUUGUAUCAAACACUUAUUUUUAUUGUGAUGAGUCUUAUCUUGAAAGGAAUAUACUGUGAAUAGUUCCCAUUUCAUGAUGAAUAAAUUUUAUAUAAAUUG